rnacentral:rRNA from 1 species
GAGUUUGAUCCUGGCUCAGAUUGAACGCUGGCGGCAUGCUUUACACAUGCAAGUCGAACGGUAACAGGCCGCAAGGUGCUGACGAGUGGCGAACGGGUGAGUAAUGCAUCGGAACGUGCCCAGUCGUGGGGGAUAACGCAGCGAAAGCUGUGCUAAUACCGCAUACGAUCUAUGGAUGAAAGCGGGGGACCGUAAGGCCUCGCGCGAUUGGAGCGGCCGAUGUCAGAUUAGGUAGUUGGUGGGGUAAAGGCUCACCAAGCCGACGAUCUGUAGCUGGUCUGAGAGGACGACCAGCCACACUGGGACUGAGACACGGCCCAGACUCCUACGGGAGGCAGCAGUGGGGAAUUUUGGACAAUGGGCGCAAGCCUGAUCCAGCAAUGCCGCGUGCAGGAAGAAGGCCUUCGGGUUGUAAACUGCUUUUGUACGGAACGAAACGGUCCGGGUUAAUACCCUGGGCUAAUGACGGUACCGUAAGAAUAAGCACCGGCUAACUACGUGCCAGCAGCCGCGGUAAUACGUAGGG